UGUGGUGGCGAUAGCAAGAAGGAUACACCUGUUUCCCAUGUCGAACACAGAAGUUAAGCCUUCUUAGCGCCGAUAGUAGUUGGUGGGAAACUACCUGCGAGGAUAGGACGUUGCCGCGC
rnacentral:rRNA from 1 species